AGAUGGCGACCGGCGCACGGGUGAGUAACACGUAUCCAACCUGCCGAUAACUCGGGGAUAGCCUUUCGAAAGAAAGAUUAAUACCCGAUGGCAUAAUAGAACCGCAUGGUUUGAUUAUUAAAGAAUUUCGGUUAUCGAUGGGGAUGCGUUCCAUUAGGCAGUUGGUGGGGUAACGGCCCACCAAACCUUCGAUGGAUAGAGGUUCUGAGAGGAAGGUCCCCCACAUUGGAACUGAGACACGGUCCAA
rnacentral:rRNA from 1 species